rnacentral:tRNA from 1 species
GGGGAUUUAGCUCAGUGGUAGAGCGCUUGCCUAGCACGCGCAAGAUCCUGGGUUCCGUCCCCAGCUCCA